CAUCGCCUCGGAGGCAGCAGUGGGGAAUAUUGCACAAUGGGGGAAACCCUGAUGCAGCGACGCCGCGUGAAGGAAGAAGUAUUUCGGUAUGUAAACUUCUAUCAGCAGGGAAGAAAAUGACGGUACCUGACUAAGAAGCCCCGGCUAACUACGUGUCAGCAGCCGCGGUAAUACGUAGGGGGCAAGCGUUAUCCGGAUUUACUGGGUGUAAAGGGAGCGUAGGCGGUUUAGCAAGUCAGAAGUGAAAGCCCGGGGCUUAACUCCGGGACUGCUUUUGAAACUGUUGAACUAGAUUGCAGGAGAGG
rnacentral:rRNA from 1 species